rnacentral:lncRNA from 10 species
GGAGGAUCCUUUGCUUCAGAUGAUCCUGGAUCAUGGAGCCAUGAAGAUGUUGAUAGUUGGAUAUCAGGAACAGAUGAUGUCAAUCACUAAUGGAUCACAGUUGACCAGGGGAAACUAAAAUCAUGGGAAACAAAACCAUGGAUAAGGCAGUACUACUGUAUACAGUUGGCCCUCCAUAGCCAUGCACUCUGCAUCAGUGGAUUCAAUCAGCCAUGGAUAAAAAAAUGUUUGAAAAGUUUAAAAGAAUGGUUGUUUCUGUACUGAACAGGUUAGGUGUUCAAGCUGUGUUAAAUCACAUCCCUGAUGUUUAUGUGGUCAGGAUAUGUGCCCUUGAGUGACCAAGCAGAAAUCACAAGGCUUAGUGUAGAAUUUGCUUACACUGUGAUAACAAAAUUCAUAAUCAAAUGGGAAGAGGAAAUAAUCCUACCGUGGUGCAUGCCAUUUUUCUAUCCAAGGGAACCUCGUAAGUUGCUGAUAAGAAUAAAUUGCAGUGAAUGAGAAAAUCAUGAAAAGUCA